CAAUAGCGUAUAUUUAAGUUGCUGCAGUUAAAAAGCUCGUAGUUGGAUUUCGGGUGGGAAUGGCCGGUCCGCCGUUUCGGUGUGCACUUGCUACGCCCACCUUGCUGCCGGGGACGUGCUCUUGAGUUCACGCUCGGGACACGGAGUCGGCGAGGUUACUUUGAGUAAAUUAGAGUGCUCAAAGCAGGCCUACGCUCUGAAUACAUUAGCAUGGAAUAACACGAUAGGACUCUGGCCUAUCUUGUUGGUCUGUAGGACCGGAGUAAUGAUUAAGAGGGACAGUCGGGGGCAUUCGUAUUUCAUUGUCAGAGGUGAAAUUCUUGGAUUUAUGAAAGACGAACUACUGCGAAAGCAUUUACCAAGGAUGUUUUCAUUAA
rnacentral:rRNA from 1 species